GACGAACGCUGGCGGCGUGCCUAAUACAUGCAAGUCGAGCGAGCGGAACUAACAGAUUUACUUCGGUAAUGACGUUAGGAAAGCGAGCGGCGGAUGGGUGAGUAACACGUGGGGAACCUGCCCCAUAGUCUGGGAUACCACUUGGAAACAGGUGCUAAUACCGGAUAAGAAAGCAGAUCGCAUGAUCAGCUUUUAAAAGGCGGCGUAAGCUGUCGCUAUGGGAUGGCCCCGCGGUGCAUUAGCUAGUUGGUAAGGUAAAGGCUUACCAAGGCGAUGAUGCAUAGCCGAGUUGAGAGACUGAUCGGCCACAUUGGGACUGAGAUACGGCCCAAACUCCUACGGGAGGCAGCAGUAGGGAAUCUUCCACAAUGGACGCAAGUCUGAUGGAGCAACGCCGCGUGAGUGAAGAAGGUUUUCGGAUCGUAAAGCUCUGUUGUUGGUGAAGAAGGAUAGAGGUAGUAACUGGCCUUUAUUUGACGGUAAUCAACCAGAAAGUCACGGCUAACUACGUG
rnacentral:rRNA from 1 species